AACGAACGCUGGCGGCAUGCCUAACACAUGCAAGUCGAACGGGAUCCUAGCUUGCUAGGUGAGAGUGGCGGACGGGUGAGUAACACGUGGGAAUCUGCCUUUUGGUUCGGGAUAACCGCGGGAAACUGCGGCUAAUACCGAAUGCCCUCGAGAGAGGAAAGAUUUAUCGCCAGAAGAGGAGCCCGCGUCCGAUUAGGUAGUUGGUGGGGUAAAGGCCUACCAAGCCGACGAUCGGUAGCUGGUCUGAGAGGAUGAUCAGCCACACUGGGACUGAGAUACGGCCCAGACUCCUACGGGAGGCAGCAGUGGGGAAUAUUGGACAAUGGGGCAACCCUGAUCCAGCAAUGCCGCGUGAGUGAUGAAGGCCUUAGGGUUGUAAAGCUCUUUUGCCAGGGAAGAUGAUGACUGUACCUGGAGAAUAAGCCCCGGCUAACUUCGUGCCAGCAGCCGCGGUAAU
rnacentral:rRNA from 1 species